CGCUGCCUCGGAAGGCCUUGGAUCUGCGGCGCCACCUGCCGGACACCGAUGCGCUCAUCGCAGCCUCCUGUUCUUCCUCUCCCAAGAACGCGGGGCGCGUCUUUUGGUACCCUAUACCAGGGCAAGUUCCCUGACCCAUCCAGGAGCUUAGUUUGUCCCAUCACUUCCUUCACAUUUCAUGUUCCUGUCUCAGAGCUGGGCGCUGAGGACAUCUAGGUGCAGAAGAUCGGGAGAAGUCAACGAACAGACACAACAUCUUUGUUUGUAUGUGGUGCUGAGGAUCGAACCUGGGCCACACGCAUGCCAGGCGAGCGCGCUACCGCUUGAGCCACAUCCCCAGCCCAAGACUUCUUUCAAUGCUUUAGUCCAAUAUGGCACAUGGUCACCAAGGGGAGGCUGGUUUCCAGGGCCCUUCAAGUCCAGUGCAAGCAGGGCACACACAGAUGAGACUCUACUCACACCAGGAAACUUUUCUGAGCCUUGGGGCAACUGGCUUGAAAUGAAUCCAAGGCUUCUGUUGACCCUUGUUGCCUAUCUAUAAGUAAUACACCCACUUCAUGUAGUGUGUGUGUGUGUGUGUGUGUGUGUGUUUUGUCUCAUGGAACUUGGACAAGUUAGUGGCCAGUGCACAGUGAAUCUGCUUCUGGGUUCUAGCAGGGUGCUGUGGCACACACCUGUAAUCCCAGUGGCUCAGGAGGCUAAGGAUCAAGAGUUCAAAUCCUAUACCAAAAGCGAGGCAUUAAGCAACACAGUGAGACUCUGUCUCUAAAGAAAAUACAAAAAAAAAAAGGGGGGGGUGUGCUGGGGAUGUGUCUCAGUGGCCAAGUACCCUGAGUUCAACCCCUGGUACCUCCCCCAAAAAGAUAGCUGGCUCCUAAUCCCAGCUGUGUGGCCCUGAGCAAGACACUGAACCUCUUUGAGUUUCAGUGACAGUGUUUGUGAAUUGGGCCAAUGCCUAUGUGAUAAAGUCAUUGGCAAGAUUUCAAAAGAAAAUGUACAUGAAAACAUCUAGUGUAGUGCCUGGCACUCAGAGGAUCCUAAAUAUAUAAUCAUUUCUUAAAAAGUAAGACAGCUGCAAUUGCUGCUGCUGGAGACAGACAUCCCAGGAGGUGAGGGCUGCAGGCGGGAGAAAAGUUUGUCUCUGAACUGGGAACUGAAAUGGAGGGAAAACAAUAAAUUCUAUAGCUUCACUUGCUUUUCAUUACACGAUUUUAGUUGACUUUUCAAAUCACUAAUUUUGGAGGUUGCAGUGGAGUGAUAUAUUAUUAGUCUCCCACCAGUUCUGCACUAGAUAACACCCCUGACAUGGGGGUCAUGAUUAUAAACAGUUGCCCAGGUUACUUUUCAGGGACCCGAAGGCUAUUGAUUGAAAAACAAUGAUUCAUCACUUGGGCCUAUGCAAGUAUCCAAUUGGUGACAUUUUGACAUCAAGGGGCCAAAAACUCCACCCUCAGAUGGUGCUAAAGGGACCCCAUUUUCUAAAAAUGUGUCCUAUGAAGAGCUAUGAAGACUGGUUACAUUGUCAGGUGUGGUGGCACACACUAGUAAUCCCACCGACACGGGAGUCUGAAGCAGAAGGAUCACAAGUUUGAGACUAGCCUCAGCAACUUAGCAAGAGCCUGUCUCCAAAUAGAAAAAGAAAAGGGGUAGGGAUGUAGCUCAGUGGUAGAACACCUCUGAGUUUAAUCGUCAGCAUGGGGGAGGUGAGCACACUUGGGAUGUGCCAACCACUGAUCACCUCCAGUCACACUGCUCUUUAUCAAUUGCCCUGCUUCUUUAUCCCAUAAAUAUCCCCAAGCCCUGCCCUGUGGGAGGUAGGUCUGAGACUUGGUUCUCCCAUCUCCUCAUGCUUUGCUGCUUCAUGAAUAAACUUUCUUUUGCAAAA